UUUGCUUCUCUGACUUUGAGUCCUCUUGUUAGCCCCUAAAUGUUUGUGCUCCCCAAGAUUCCGCUGGUGAUCUCCUUUCCUCUCCCCCUCCAUCCUUUCUAUUGAUCUCACCUCCUUCUUAGGCUUCAGAGAGCCGUCUGUGCAGGUGACUAUGAAAUGUGUAUUUCUCAUCCACCUGCUUUGAGCUUAAGAUUUACAUCUGGAGAAGUCAGCCUAGGGGAGCCAUGGCAUCUGAGACUCAGCGUGUCUUAAACCAGAUUCAUCUCUUACUGUCCUCACCAGCUUCUCCAGCUCUCCUUUUAGCUGUAAUGACAGUUCCACUCUCUCAGCCACCAGAUUGUGGUGCCCUUCUUUGCCACAUCUUGCCUUCAUUCUCCACAUUGCAUUCGUUGCAGUUUUCAGGCUUAUCCUUAUAAAGUAUCUUUUCUUCCAAAAAUUGCUUGUGUAUACAUAUGCAUAGAGAGGUAUCUGGAAAUAAAUUCACCAGAAAGUUUAAUUUACCAUCCAGUCUAUCUCUGGGUGAUGGGAUUCUAUGUUGUUCAAGCUUUUUUUUUUUUUUUUUUUUAAUAACAGGCCUUAAUUACUCAUAGACUUGUGCCCAGCGUAUACCCAGUCUGUCUUCUCAGCACUCCCUUGCCCUGAACCCCAUAACUGGGGCUCAGUUGCUGGUUCAUUCAUUCUUUGUACCUCCGGUCAUCAUUUUCCAGGUGCCUUUCAAGUAAACUUUCCUUAGUGAAACCCUUCUCCCAGCUGAAUGUUUCUUCCUUCUGUGGGCCCUCUGGUCUCUAUGCUAUUUCCUGUAUUCUGCCCUCUGCUGUCUAUACAUGUGUAUUUUGUGUUCUGUCCUUUAUUAGAUUGUAAGCUCCAUGAGGGCAGAGUUUGGGUCUGAUUACCCAUCCUUUCCCCCUUUUGGUUACAGUCUCCCAGUUUUUCUUUGGGAGACAACACCUUUUCCCCCUGGCUACAGUUUUGGUGGGAUGGGCAGUUCAGGUGUCCUGCCAACAAGAUGCUCUUCUCCUGGAAUUUGAAUUUUGAGUCAUGAGAUACAAGGACUGACAGUGAUUGGCACUGAUUCAGCCUGGCCGAGGUGCUCUGAAGAAGCCACUCAUUAGUUCCUGCCUCCUAGAUCCCUGGAGCUGCCCUGGUCCCUGAACUCUCCGAAGCCUGGUUCUUCAGAUAUUCCUUCGUAUCUCCAGAGACUGCUGCUGCUUUGAAACGUACGAUAGAGGCCCUGAUGGACAGAGGAGCAGUAGUGAGGGACUUGGAAAACCUGGGUGAACGAGUGCUUCCUUAUAGGAUGUCUGCCCACAGUCAGCAGCACAACAGAGGCGGGUAUUUCUUGGUGGAUUUUUAUGCACCCACCGCAACUGUUGAAAGCAUGGUGGAGCACUUGUCUCGAGAUAUAGAUGUGAUUAGAGGGAAUAUCGUCAAACACCCUCUGACCCAGGAACUAAAAGAAUGUAAAGGGAUUGUCCCAGUCCCACUUGCAGAAAAAUUGUAUUCCACAAAGAAGAAGAAGAAGUGAGAAGAUGCGCCAGAUUUUAGCCUUAUAUGUAAUUCCUUCACAUUUGAGCAGCAUGGACGAGAAGGAAGAGUUUGCAAGUUUGGCCUUUAUAUAAGCAUGUGUUGCAGGUGCUGUUUGAUUUUUCUAAGGUAUUUUUAGCCCUUGAUCCCCUUUGCUUGCAGGAGGUGAGGAACUGCUCACUGACAGCUUCUCUGUAACCUGCAGUACCAGUGGAUCAUUCUUGAUUUUGUUUUCAUUAGUGUCAUUUCUUUGUCAGUGAGGACUUUUCCCCUUAGAACAGUAACACCAUUUUUUGAAGAGCAAAACUUAUAAUACCUCCUGGGAUUGUGAGCUAGUCAUUCAGCCUGUAUAACCAUGCAGAAAUAAAAAUUGACGACCAAUGUAUUAUAUGGACAACUUUUGCUUUGAGUAAUAAACUUGGUUGUAGGAAUGCG
rnacentral:sRNA from 1 species